CCUACGGGCGGCUGCAGUCGGGAAUAUUGCGCAAUGGAGGACACUCUGACGCAGUGACGCCGCGUAUAGGAAGAAGUUUUUCGGAAUGUAACCUAUUGUCGUUAGGGAAGAGAAAGUACAGUACCUACGGAGGCGGCUCCGGCUAACUACGUGCCAGCAGCCGCGGUAAUACGUAGGGAGCGAGCGUUACCCGGAAUUAUUGGGUGUAAAGGGUGCGUAGACGGGAAAGCAAGUUAGUUGUGAAAUCCCUCGGCUUAACUGAGGAACUGCACCUAAAACUAUUUAGCUUGAGUGCAGGAGAGGUAAGUGGAAUUCCUAGUGUAGCGGUGAAAUGCGUAGAUAUUAGGAGGAACACCAGUGGCGAAGGCGACUUACUGGACUGUAACUGACGUUGAGGCACGAAAGUGUGGGGAGCAAACAGGAUUAGAUACCCUAGUAGUC
rnacentral:rRNA from 1 species